rnacentral:rRNA from 1 species
UAUUGGUCAAUGGCCGAGAGGCUGAACCAGCCAAGUCGCGUGAGGGAGGACGGCCCUACGGGUUGUAAACCUCUUUUGUCCGGGAGCCAGGGACAGGUCGUGACCUGUUGUGAGAGUACCUGAAGAAAAAGCCUAGUCUAACUCCGUGCCAGCAGCCGCGGUAAUACGGAGGAUGCGAGCGUUAUCCGGAUUUAGUGGGUUUAAAGGGUGCGCAGGCGGAGGCACAAGUCAGCGGUAAAAUCGCGGGGCUCAACCCCGCUCCGCCGUUGAAACUGUGUCCCUUGAGUGCGCGAAGGGUAGGCGGAAUGCGUGGUGUAGCGGUGAAAUGCAUAGAUAUCACGCAGAACUCCGAUCGCGAAGGCAGCCUACCGGCGCGCUACUGACGCUCAUGCACGAAAGCGUGGGUAUCGAACAGG